rnacentral:rRNA from 1 species
ACCGGCAGCCAUAUCACCCUGUAGCCCAAGACUGGUUGCCCACUGAAGCUAAGCAUGAUGGGAGACCUCCUGGGAAAACUAGGUUGCUGCUGGAA